rnacentral:siRNA from 1 species
UAGAGAUUAUGUGAAAUUCCU